GACGAACGCUGGCGGCGUGCUUAACACAUGCAAGUCGAACGGUAAGGCCCUUCGGGGUACACGAGUGGCGAACGGGUGAGUAACACGUGGGUGAUCUGCCCUGCACUUCGGGAUAAGCCUGGGAAACUGGGUCUAAUACCGGAUAGGACUCCGGACUGCAUGGUCUGGGGUGGAAAGCUUUUGCGGUGUGGGAUGGGCCCGCGGCCUAUCAGCUUGUUGGUGGGGUGAUGGCCUACCAAGGCGACGACGGGUAGCCGGCCAGAGAGGGUAACCGGCCCCACUGGGACUGAGAUCCGGCCCAGACUCCUCCGGGAAGCAGCAGUGGGGAAUAUUGCACGAUGGGCGCAAGCCUGAUGCAGCGACGCCGCGUGAGGGAUGACGGCCUUCGGGUUGUAAACCUCUUUCAGCAUCGACGAAGCGAAAGUGACGGUAGGUGCAGAAGAAGGACCGGCCAACUACGUGCCAGCAGCCGCCGUAA
rnacentral:rRNA from 1 species